rnacentral:rRNA from 1 species
AUGUCUACCAAGACCAAGUCAGAUUUAAGAAACUCACCCUUGGAGAACAACGGUGACUGUCCGCUCAGCUGCUCCAGCACCUAUCGAAUUAACAACAAUGUUCUUGGCACUAGUGUUAUCAGCGCAGUUGACAGUGGCUGCAACCGGCAGACCCGGCGACAUUCGGAACUUGUUACCAGCGGAACCUCUAUGCCCUAUAGGAAAUGUAGUAUCUGCAUAUGUAGUGCAAAUAAGCUCAACAUUCAGUUCAUCGAUAACCUGAAAGAGUUUGUCAAUCAUCUAACCAAGAGAAUGCAUGCUGCUGUUCCUGGAUCUUUAGUCAUAUGGUAUGAUGCAAUUAUAGUGGGUGGCGAUCUCGACUGGCAGGAUAAGCUCAACAAGCAUAACAAGCCAUUCUUUGAUUUGUGUGAUGGCUUAUUUGUUAAUUAUACAUGGAAGGAAAAGUAUCCACGAGAUUCAGCUACAACUGCUGGUGACCGGAAGUAUGAUGUGUACAUGGGUAUUGAUGUUUUCGGCCGAAAUACUUUCGGUGGUGGGAAAUGGAAUACAAAUGUUGCCCUUGAUCUACUUAAAAAAGAUGAUGUCUCAACUGCCAUAUUUGCUCCUGGAUGGAUAUAUGAAACUAAACAACAGCCUGAGUUUCAGACUACACAAAAUUGCUGGUGGGGCCUCGUUGAGAAAUCAUGGGAUGUUCUUCAGAGCUAUUCGAAACGAUUACCCUUCUACUCAGAUUUUGAUCAGGUCCAUCCGAUCCGGCGCUUGGCCUCCUCUUCCUCCUCCUCCUCGACCUCCUGGUCGGGGUGGGUGGAGUGCUCAUCCUUAUGGUCCAUGGCCGAAGAAAAAAAUAACAAAAUAGCCGCAUCUUGGAAUUACAAACAAUGUUGCCUAAGGGAGUUUUCAUUUUCUUUGCACGGAAAAUUCAUUUUCCAUUUUCCGACUGACCUACCAUAUAUUUGUUGCAAAAUUGGACCAAAUCAAUUUUGUAAAAUACUAGGCCAUAUUUAA